GUCUUUUUGAGUAUAAUUUAAAGUCUAGCCUGCCCAUUGAUUUAUUAAAAGGCCGCAGUAUUUUGACUGUGCGAAGGUAGCAUAAUCAAUAGUUUCUUAAUUAGAAGCUGGAAUGAAGGGUUGGAUAAGAAAGUGACUGUCUCAAUUUAAAUUUAUUAGAAAUUUAUUUUUAAGUUAAAAAGCUUAAAUAAUAUUAAAAGACGAGAAGACCCUAUAGAGUUUUAUAUUAUAUAUUUAAUAUAAUUUUUUAGAAUUUAAAAUUUAAGUAAGUAUUUAAUAUUUGGUUGGGGUGAUUAAAAAAUUUAAUAAACUUUUUUUUUAUUGAAACAAUAAUAGUUGAUUAAUUGAUCCAUAUAUAAUGAUUAUAAGAUAAAAUUACCUUAGGGAUAACAGCGUAAUUUUUUUUAAGAGUUCUUAUCGAAAAAAGAGAUUGCGACCUCGAUGUUGGAUUAAAGAGAGUUUUUGGUGUAGAAGUUAAAUAACUAGGUCUGUUCGACCUUUAAAUCUUUACA
rnacentral:rRNA from 1 species